rnacentral:rRNA from 1 species
UAGGGAAUCUUCCGCAAUGGACGCAAGUCUGACGGAGCAACGCCGCGUGAGUGAAGAAGGAUUUCGGUUCGUAAAACUCUGUUGUUAGAGAAGAACAGCGCAUAGAGUAACUGUUAUGCGUGUGACGGUAUCUAACCAGAAAGCCACGGCUAACUACGUGCCAGCAGCCGCGGUAAUACGUAGGUGGCAAGCGUUGUCCGGAUUUAUUGGGCGUAAAGCGAGCGCAGGCGGUCAAUUAAGUCUGAUGUGAAAGCCCCCGGCUCAACCGGGGAGGGUCAUUGGAAACUGGUUGACUUGAGUGCAGAAGAGGAGCGUGGAAUUCCAUGUGUAGCGGUGAAAUGCGUAGAUAUAUGGAGGAACACCGGUGGCGAAGGCGACUCUCUGGUCUGUAACUGUCGCGGAGGCUCGAAAGCGUGGGUAGCAAACAGG